rnacentral:rRNA from 1 species
AACGAACGCUGGCGGCAGGCUUAACACAUGCAAGUCGAACGCCCCGCAAGGGGAGUGGCAGACGGGUGAGUAACGCGUGGGAAUCUACCGUGCCCUGCGGAAUAGCUCCGGGAAACUGGAAUUAAUACCGCAUACGCCCUACGGGGGAAGGAUUUAUCGGGGUAUGAUGAGCCCGCGUUGGAUUAGCUAGUUGGUGGGGU